AUUUAGUCGUUGUCAUUCAGCUCACAUCGUUCUGCUCCAACAGAACCUAAAAUCGUACUAAUAUGGAUCGUAAUUCGUUACGGAGACCUCUAAAAUCUAUUUUGCCGCAGAUCUCCUUCCAAACUUUGGCCAUUGUUACAGUGGUCACUUUAAUCUUGUGGUACUUAUUAUCAGAAAGGAAGAGACGGAGAAAUUCGCCAUCAGGACCAAGGUAAAAUUUCUCAACAAAUUGCACAAGGGCAAGCAGUUUCAAAAUUGGUGUACCUACAAAUAUGCACGAAAUUUAUCUGGAUUUGUUGAUCUGCAUGUUGUCAACUAUUAAUCUGCCUCGCCGAUUAAAAAAAGAUUUUUGUGACGACACUCACCAUAGAUGAAAUAUUUUUAUGAAUUUAAAAUUUACUUUAUUUUAUUUUAUUUCUAAAAGUUAGAAAAUAAAAUAUGUACUUUUCUUUCUGAAAGCUGAA